rnacentral:rRNA from 1 species
CGCUGGCGGCGUGCCUAAUACAUGCAAGUCGAACGCGCUCCAUUCGGUAGCAAUACCGAUGAAGAGCGAGUGGCGAACGGGUGAGUAGCACGUGAGCAACCUGCCCCGAAGACUGGGACAACACCGGGAAACCGGUGCUAAUACCGGAUAUCCCUAACGGAUCGCAUGAUCCGAUAAGGAAAUGUUUUUCGCUUCGGGAGGGGCUCGCGGCCUAUCAGCUUGUUGGUGGGGUAAUGGCCUACCAAGGCAUCGACGGGUAGCUGGUCUGAGAGGACGAUCAGCCACACUGGGACUGAGACACGGCCCAGACUCCUACGGGAGGCAGCAGUAGGGAAUCUUGCGCAAUGGGCGAAAGCCUGACGCAGCAACGCCGCGUGGAGGACGAAGGCUUUCUGAGUUGUAAACUCCUUUCAGCAGGGACGAUAGUGACGGUACCUGCAGAAGAAGCACCGGCCAACUACGUGCCAGCAGCCGCGGUGAUACGUAGGGUGCAAGCGUUGUCCGGAUUUAUUGGGCGUAAAGGGCUCGUANGCGGUUUGAUAAGUCGGGUGUGAAACCUCCAGGCUCA